GAUGAACGCUAGCUACAGGCUUAACACAUGCAAGUCGAGGGGUAACGAGGAGAGAGCUUGCUUUUUCCGUCGACGACCGGCGCACGGGUGAGUAACGCGUAUCCAACCUACCUUCAGCUAAGGAACAGCCCGUCGAAAGGCGGAUUAAUACCUUAUGUUGUUUCAUGAUGCCAUCAGAAAGAAACGAAAGAUUUAUCGGCUGAGGAUGGGGAUGCGUCUGAUUAGAUUGUUGGCGGGGCAACGGCCCACCAAGUCUUCGACCAGUAGGGGUUCUGAGAGGAAGGUCCCCCACAUUGGAACUGAGACACUGUCCAAACUCCUACGGGAGGCAGCAGUGAGGAAUAUUGGUCAAUGGGCGAGAGCCUGAACCAGCCAAGUAGCGUGCAGGAUGACGGCCCUAUGGGUUGUAAGCUGCUUUUACACGGGGAUAAAGUGGUCGACGUGUCGUCCUUUGCAGGUACCGUGCGAAUAAGGACCGGCUAAUUCCGUGCCAGCCGCCGCCGUAAGAC
rnacentral:rRNA from 1 species